rnacentral:rRNA from 1 species
AACGAACGCUGGCGGCAUGCCUAACACAUGCAAGUCGAACGACACCUUCGUGUCUAGUUGCGCACGGGUGCGUCACGCGUGGGAACCUGCCCUUAGGUUCCGGAUAACUCUUCUAAGGGGGGGCUAAUGUCGGGUAAUUUCUUCGGACCAAUGAUUGAUCGUCGUGGGAUAGGCCCGCGUUGGUUUCACUUGUUGGUAGGGUAUAAGCCUACGAAGGCGGCGCCCCCUAGCUGGACUGAGAGGAAGAUCAGCCACACUGCGACUGGGACCCGGCCCAGACUCUGAAGGGAGGCAGCAGUGGGGAAUAUUGGACAACGGGCGAAAGAAUGAUCCAGCAAUGCCGCGUGAGUGAUGAAGGGCUUAGGGUUGUAAAGCUCUUUUACCCGGGAUGAUCAGAACAGUCCCGGAAGAAUAAGCUCCGGCUAAUUCCUU